rnacentral:misc_RNA from 1 species
UCAAACUUGGUCAUUUAGAGGAAGUAAAAGUCGUAACAAGGUUUCCGUAGGUGAACCUGCGGAAGGAUCAUUAGUGGUGUCUUGAAGGUUUAUUUUAUUGACUGCGAAGCAGGGGGGUAUGUGGUGGUGUGUUGGGUGUUGCGGUGCUGGUCGUGGUGUUGGGUGUCAUGGUGCCGGUGGUUCCGUGGCGCCCAGUGGGUGUCAUGGUGCCGGUGGUGCCAUGGCGUCCAGCAUCACAGUCGUGGCACGCGGCAUCCGCGCACACCAUCACCAUAUGACAACACGCCAAAACAACACAAAUCACAACACCAAAACACACAACGCCAUACAACUCCCAGCAGCGGAUCUCUUGGCUCCUGCAUCGAUGAAGAACGCAGC